rnacentral:lncRNA from 1 species
UUCACUUACCAAACUGUCAACCAUGCCCGCAGCCUAGCUGUUCAUCACCCGCGCGCGUGUAAAAAUUGUUUUUUUAAAUAUAUAUUUUUAUUUUAACAUUAUUAUAAUUCAAAAACAUCUAAAAGGUAAUUAAUCUAAUAAAGAAAAUUAAAACUUUUGCCGCACAAACAAAUACUAUUAACUUGUUUUAUGAGAUGCAGCACUGUUCACUCCAUACAUCUCCUUUUCUUUUAUCUUACCGGAUGCUCAACAUCGAUCGAUGAACACGUUACACAGAUUCAAUAGUAUUGUUUCUUUUUUCUUCAGAAAAAGAAAAAGAAAUAGAAAAACCUCUUUUAAUUAAUUUGGUAGCCAUUCCAUCAUCUUAAUUAAUUAAGACAUGUGAUCCAAAUGACAUGAUCCUUCAUUAUCUUUAUUACCUUUGCUUAUUUAUUUUGUCUGAUCUUCCUUUAUGGUGCUACGGCCCCUCAAAUUUUAAAAACUGAUGGCCAUGCCUGCACUGCACUUAACCCUCUUCUGCUCUCUCCACAGCACCACCACCUGCAAAUAACUUGUCUUUUGCUUCUUCUGUCUGUCUCACCUGCACUUCAAAACUAAGGAUCCGGAAAAGAAAAGAAAUCAAUAAAACAUCCUGAUAAUAACUCUUAGUUUAUGAGCUUACUAACAUAGGCAACCUUUUCUUUUCUUUCUCGGUUAGUUCUUGCCAGUGUUGCAAAUCAGAGCAUGUCAAGGUGUUUCAGUUUCACAGGGACCAAAAACUGGUGCUUCAGGUCC